GGAAAUUUUUUCAAAAAAAAAAUUUCCUUUCUAUAGUAUCGGUCUGCCUAUAUCAAAAAAGAACGAACAACACCUAAUUGCAUUCUGUUUAAGCUCAAUAGAAAAUAAGUAGUUAAUGCGACCAAGAAAGUAGUGCAGCAGAACUAUAUGUAUACUUUCAAACGUGGAUGACUUGAAGAAAAAGCUGAUGUUCAAAAAAACUUGAAAUGAUGAUAUUCAAUGUUAGCUAACAUCAAUGGAACAUAAUCUUAAACGUGUACGAAAAAAAAACAUCAGUAUUAUUACGCAUUAGGCCAAAGAAAAGUUUGUAUCCAUGUACCUAUGUACAAUAAAUUGAAUAUAAAUAAGGUGUAAUUUUGUAGCAGAGAUGCUGAAAAAUUCACAUGUAAGUCAACCGAAGGGAAAUGAAAGUAUUUAUUGUAUAUAUUUAGCAAUUUAUUGAAUAGCAUUUUAUGCCACCGCUGAUUUUUUUACGUCAAUAACUCAAGAGGAAACAAUGGAUACAAUAUGUGGCCUUAAAAAAGCGUACUAUUUUCGCAAAAAAUGGUUCGCAAACUUUCAUAGAAUCAAAGCGUUUGAAACAAAAAAUAUUAUUAUAUAAAUAAAAAAAACAAGAUAACAAUACAAGUCUUUCAAAGGUAUUCUGGAAUUAACGGAUGCAAUUUGGUAAAACUUGGUUUUGACUAGUAGGGCACACCCCGCCAUUGUUCGGACCAUCGACAGAAUAACGUUCGUGUUUUUCAGAUUUCUCCAUCCAAGACAUAGAUUUGCUGAUGAAUAACAUCGCAAAGAUCUUGGUGUAUUGUCUUCAUACUUGGCCACAACAACCCUUCAAAUAGACCAGACUAAACUAAAUUAACUUGACCACCAUAUUAACAUUCAAGAAGUUCGGCCUACAUGUCAGAUUUAUGAAUGUGGACAGCAGGAUAUCGAUUUUAAGAAUGCUUUAGGGUCAAUGACAAUGAAAUCACGAGAGAUAAAGGCUAAAUGGGAGACUGUCAAUCUGACUAACCUUGAAGUGAACAAAUGGAAAAAAUGUCUCUUUCAAUAGCAUGGGCUUUUAAGGAAGAGGAAACAGAGGCGCUUCUAUGAUAGAACAGUAAAAGCAGGAGUGAUAAGGAAAGAUACAUGUAGAAUAAGAUGUGUCUUCAUGUCUGAAACACUAAAGAAAUAGAAAUAUUGUGGUUUUAUGAACUUUAAAAGAAAUUGGAAUAUCAGGAGACUGCCUGCCCUUUGCAAUGUUGGAUAAUGAGUUCUUAGAUGUGAUGUCGAAAGCCUCAUGAAUAUAGUACCAUGACUUAAUCUAAUUAGAAAAAGAAAUAACAUUGAGGAGAAAACUAGUCACCAGUCUUUCACCAAGAACUAGAGAUAACUUUCCAAUAUUUGAAAUAUCAUAAUAUGUAUAGAACUUUAUUGAGCCACCAGUUUUUCACCAGGAAAAUAAGAUCACAUUUACUAUUUUUAGCUCACCUGUCACAAAGUGACAGGGUGAGCUUUUUUGAUCGCUUUUCGUCUGGCGUCCACUUUAAAUGACAUCUCCUCAUAAACCACUAAGCCAAUUUCAUCCAAACUUCACAGGAAUGUUUCUUUGGUGGUCACCUCUAAAUAUUGUUCAUAGAACGCUGGUUGCCAUGGCAACCAAAAGAAAAAAACUUAAAGUAUCUUCUUUUAAAGAACCUAAAGAGCUAGAGCUUAGACAAAGUAUCUUCUUUUAAAGGUAUGAAACAUCUUCUAGUGAGUGUCUACCAAGUUUGUUCAAAUAAAAGCCCUGGGGGUCAAAAUUGGCCCCGCCCCAGGGGGUCAUUGAAUUCCCCUAUAUGCAUAUAGUAAAAACUUAAAAAUCUUCUUUUAAAGAACCAAAAUAGCUAGAGUUUAGAUAUCAAGCAUGAAACAUCUUCUUGUAAGUGUCUACAAAGUUUGUUCAAAUAAAAGCCCUGGGGUCAAAAUUGGCCCCUCCCCAGGGGUCAUUGAUUUUCCUUAUAUGUGUAUAGCAAAAACUUAAAAACCUUCUUUGAAAAAACCUUAAUAGCUAGAGUUGAGAUAUUAAGCAUGAAACCUCUUCUGGUAAGUGUGUACAAGGCCAAACCCCAGGGGUUUCAUUGUUUUUAACUAUUUGUGUAUAGUAAAAACUUAAAAAAUCUUCUUUUAAAAAACCCUAUGAGCUAGAGCCUAGAUGUUUAGCAUGAAACAUCUUAUGGUGUCGACCAAGUUUGUUCAAAUAAAAGCCCUUGUAUAAAAAUUGGCCAUGCCGGGGUGGGGGGUGGUGCAGAGGUCUUUGUUUUACAUUAUAUGUGUGUAGUAAAAACUUAACAUCAUGAAACAUCUUCUAACGGGUGUCUUACAAGUUUGGUCAAAUAAAAGCCCUGGGUUUUAAACUGGCCCCGCUCCAGGGGCCUAUAUACACAUGGCCCUCUUGUUCAACAAUCUUGUUGAAAUAUGUAUGAACAAAUCUUUAUCAACUUCAAGCUUUUAUUGAAGGAAUUUGAAAUAACUUGGCAGAAAUGAUUGUUAUAAUAAGACAAUGAGUCAUGUCAACAACCAGACCCCUACUUCCAGGGUCAAGGUCGCACUUGCUCAUUCAAGGUCAACUUGUCUUUUUGAGAGUAUAUCUCGUGUCUGGUCUUCCCUAUCUCUAAAGGGAUUUUGUUAAUUCUUGCCACAAUUGCUCACAAUAAUGAGAAGAUGUGUCAUGCUCAACAACAGGUCACCUGCCUCCAAGGUCAAGGUCACACUUGGAGGUCAAAUAUUAGCAUAGCCUGUUACAGGGUAUAUUUCGUGUCCGGUCCAUAACUUUGUCAUUUAUUGAAGGAAUUUGAAAUAACUUGGCACAAAUGUUUGUUAUAAUAAGACGAUGAUGUGCAACAACCAGACCCUUACCUUCAGGGUCAAGGUCACACUUGCUCAUUCAAGGUCAACAUUGUCCAUUUGAGGGUAUAUCUCGUGUCCAGUCUAUACCUUUCUUAUCUUUGAAAGGAUUUUGUAAAUAUUUGCCGCAAUUGUUCACAACAAUGAGAUGAUGUGUUAUGCGCAACAAUCGGUCACCAACAUACAAGGUCAAGGUCACACUUGGAGGUCUAAGAUUAACAUAGCCUGUUAUAGGGUAUUUUUUUUGUCCGGUCCAUAACUUUUUUGUAUAUCAAAGGAUUUUGAAAACACUUGGCACAAAUAUUCACUAUAAUAAGACAAUGUGUCAAGCGCAACACCUGCAUCCCUACCUCAAAGGUCAGGGUCACAUUUCGAGGUAAAAAAUUAACAUAGUCUUUUAAAGGGUAUAUAUUGUGUCCAAUGUAGAACUUCUUCAUAGUUCAAGGGAUUUUGAAAUAACUUGGCACAAAUAGUCACAAUAAUAAGACGAUAUGUCAAUUACAACACCUGCACCCCUGCCUCCAAGGUCAAGGUCACACUUACAUGUAUAAAGGUAACAAAGUCUGUUAUAUGGUAUAUUUUAUGCCCCGUCCAUAACUUCUUCAUAGAUGAAGGGAUUUGGAAAAUACUUGGCACAAAUAGUCACAAUGAUAAGAUGAUAUGUCAUGCACAACACCUGCACCCCUACCUCCAAGGUCAAGGUCACACUAAGAGGUCAAAGCAGGGAUUUUUUCCAGGAUUUUGGGAACAUAACCCAUACCCAUGCAACUGAGAAUUUCAGCGAUAUUUUGUUAAAAUUGGGAAAAAAUGUAUGACUGAAAGUUUGCAGUGAUUAAAUGUAUGCAAGCAAUCACUGCCUAGUAUGGCUUCUUCAAACAUUUAAACACUAUUAAAGUAAAGAAGCCCUUAUUUUCAAAGAUUUUAGAAUUCUUUAUUCAAUAUUUAUAUUUUUGUAACUUUCAAUUGGGAAUAUUUUCCUUUGGAUUGGGAAAAUAAUAUACUAUUUUCAAUUGGGAAUAUGUCCCAAUAACGGCUAUAAAAUAAGCCAAAAAAUCCCUGCAAAGCAUAACAUGAUAUAUUUUGAAAUUCAGUAUUUCAUUUGAUUUCUUUAAUAAAAUUAUUGUUGCAUUUGCAGAUCCAGCAUUGAUCAUAAUUUUGGACUGAAAAUCAUUAGAUCCCUGCCUCAAUCUUUUGAAAUAGCACAAUUUUUUGCUUCAUAUAAAACUUCCCUGAGGCGGGGGACGUUGGUAUCUCUGUUACAAAUUCUUGUUUAUUUUACCAACAAGUGUUCACUUUCAAACUUUUGAUCAUUGUAUUUUUUGUACUACCUUUUGUAUAAUGUUGUAUUUUAUUUAUGUUCUUAUUCUAAGAUUAGCAUGGCCAACUCAUGAAAGUCCAAAUGAUGGUCAACUUUUUUUUUGUUUUUUUUUUUGGGUUUUUUUUUUUUAACAUUAUUUACUUUAUUUUUACAGUGUUCCUCUGAAUCAUACAUUCUGUUUUAGUUAAACAUGCACUUCUUGUUACUUAUUUUCCCAUACUUCAUAUUACAUUGAUCACGGUUUGAUGUGAUGGCUCAUAAAAUUGUAACAAUAUCAUUCUUUGUACUUUACCUAGUAAUUUAUGAAAACAGAAAUGCUCUUGUAAGCUAACCAAUAAGAUUUGUACACCUUUUAAGGAUUCAAUUUAUAACUGGUAUAUUCAACAAUAUAUCAAAACACAGGUCAAGUAUGAUUUCAGUUACAUUCCACAAAAUUUAUACAACAUUAUGCAUUCCUUACCAAAUCAUAUGCAAAAAAAAAAUGAUUUAUAACUGAUAAUAUUUGAAUGCUUUUGAAAUCUAUAAAGAUUUUUCAUAUAACUCUGGACAAAAUUUAACAGUCUUCAGUGAGUUGGAGUGUAGUAUGAAAAAUCAGGUGUCUGUUGCAAAGAUCAAGGUCACUACUUUAGAUCAAAAGUCAAAUAAUAACUUAAAACAUGAGAGUAUAUUUCUAUAUACAUGGCUGGAUUUUCAUAACAUUUAUCACAAAUGCUCACUUAUGUAUACAUCUUUCUCCCCAAGCUGAAGCUUUAAGGUUCAGUUCUGAAUAAUGGCAACAGGCUUGAUAUAUGCUGCCAGUGGGCUUGUCUAAUUAUGUACAUAUUUUGAUUACCCACUCAUUAUAAGCAUUGUACUUAACGCAAGCAUUCAAGUCCUAUGGGCACAUUUCUACUUUUGACUAUAUUUUGUUGUAUAAUGUCAGUCUUGUACAUUGUAAAAAAUCCUUAAAACAGCACCUCCUAUAUUACUGGCCGUUUGCAUUAAAGCUUCUUUCUUUCAGAUUGUUAUAAAUUGUAUCACCUCAAUAUGUACCAAUAAUUUAAAGGGACUCACUCCAUUGAGGUUUAAAAGCCUAAAACAUAACAUUUGAAUUUCUACAGAAAUGAGCCGGGGCACUUGAUACAGAAAUAUAUGCACAGAUAGUGAAGAAAUAUACUUUGAAAUGAAUUGAAAAUCAAUUUUUUUUUAUGCUUUUCUCAGCCUGAUCUGCGUGAUAUGUGUUUAAACGCUUUCAUUUUGGGUAAUUUUUUUACAAUUUGAAUAAUUAUUCUUGAAAAACGAAGUGUGCAAAUGAUCUGAAAUUUUUCUCAAAGAUUAGUGGUCAAAACAUACAUCAAGUGGUACAUUAAUCUAGAAAAAUAAAUUUCAUUCUCAUCAUGUCAAAAAACCUCAGUGGAGUUCCUUUUACACAUUUUAUCUGACAAACUAAAUUUCAUUAUCUCCAUAUAUUUAAUCAUUUAUUUUUUAUAUAACAUAUAUUUUUACUUUUAUGCAAGUUUUGACAAUAAAAGUUUAUUUUAAAUCAUU